UACGUAGGCAGCAAACGUUGUUCGGAAUUACUGGGCGUAAAGAGCUUGUAGGCGGUUUGUCGCGUCUGCUGUGAAAUUUCGGGGCUCAACCCCGAACUUGCAGUGGGUACGGGCAGACUAGAGUGUGGUAGGGGAGACUGGAAUUCCUGGUGUAGCGGUGAAAUGCGCAGAUAUCAGGAGGAACACCGAUGGCGAAGGCAGGUCUCUGGGCCAUAACUGACGCUGAGAAGCGAAAGCAUGGGGAGCGAACAGG
rnacentral:rRNA from 1 species